rnacentral:rRNA from 1 species
AGGUCAAAUCAUCAUGCCCCUUAUGUCCUGGGCUACACACGUACUACAAUGGCUAGAACAGAGGGAAGCAAAGGAGCAAUCCGGAGCGAAGCCCCAAAAGUAGCCUCAGUUCGGAUUGUGGGCUGAAACCCGCCCACAUGAAGUCGGAAUUGCUAGUAAUGGCAGGUCAGCAUACUGCCGUGAAUACGUUCCCGGGCCUU